AGAGCGAACGCUGGCGGCAGGCUUAACACAUGCAAGUCGAGCGGGCGUAGCAAUACGUCAGCGGCAGACGGGUGAGUAACGCGUGGGAACAUACCUUUUGGUUCGGAACAACACAGGGAAACUUGUGCUAAUACCGGAUAAGCCCUUACGGGGAAAGAUUUAUCGCCGAAAGAUUGGCCCGCGUCUGAUUAGCUAGUUGGUGAGGUAACGGCUCACCAAGGCGACGAUCAGUAGCUGGUCUGAGAGGAUGAUCAGCCACAUUGGGACUGAGACACGGCCCAAACUCCUACGGGAGGCAGCAGUGGGAAUAUUGUACAAUGGGCGCAAGCCUGAUCCAGCCAUGCCGCGUGAGUGAUGAAGGCCCUAGGGUUGUAAAGCUCUUUUGUGCGGGAAGAUAAUGACGGUACCGCAAGAAUAACGCCCGGCUAACUUCGUGCCAGCAGCCGC
rnacentral:rRNA from 1 species